rnacentral:rRNA from 1 species
GACGAACGCUGGCGGCGUGCCUAAUACAUGCAAGUCGAACGCAGUGGGGACGGGUGAGUAACACGUUGGUAACCUCCCAUCCACGGGGAUAACACUUGGAAACAGGUGCUAAACCGAUAUUGAUGGCUGGACCCGCGGUGCAUUAGCUAUUUGGGGAGGAAACGGCUCACCCAGGCCACGAUGCAUAGCCGGCCGGAGAGGGUGAUCGGCAAAACGGGGACUGAGACACGGCCCAGACUCCUACGGGAGGCAGCAGUAGUGAAUCUGCGGCAAUGGACGGAAGUCUGACCGAGCAACGCCGCGUGAGUGAAGAAGGUUUUCGGAUCGGAAAACUCUGUUGUUAGAGAAGCGGAAUCUAACGAGAAAGCCACGGCUAACUACGUGCCAGCAGCCGCGGUAAUAC